rnacentral:rRNA from 1 species
UGCGCAGGCGGGGCAAUAAGUCAGUGGUGAAAUCCUGCGGCUUAACCGUAGAACUGCCAUUGAUACUGUUGCCCUUGAGUAUAGUUGAGGUGGGCGGAAUAUGUAAUGUAGCGGUGAAAUGCAUAGAUAUUACAUAGAACACCGAUUGCGAAGGCAGCUCACUAAGCUAUCACUGACGCUGAGGCACGAAAGCGUGGGGAGCGAACAGGAUUAGAUACCCUGGUAGUCC